rnacentral:lncRNA from 1 species
UAACCAAAGGCCCAAAUCCAAUCCCACGGAACAGUGAAACUUCAUAGGGUCUUUCUAUCGAGGUGCAGGUAGUCCGCCUCUUCACAGACAUGCCUAUUUCACCGAGCCUCUCUCCGAAACAGUGCCCAGAUCGUUACGCCUUUCGUGCGGGUCUGAACUUACCCGACAAGAAAUUUCCACAUUCUUUAAAAAAAUAAUUUUCU